CUCGCUAUAGUUUAUUUAAAACAAUGAAUUGCAAAUUCAAAAAAUGAGAGGUUUCCAUGGUGAGU
rnacentral:tRNA from 1 species